rnacentral:rRNA from 1 species
GGAUUCCCCUAGUACUGCGAGUGAAGCGGGAAAAGCUCAAAUUUAAAAUCUGGNGGUCCUCUGGCCGUCCGAGUUGUAAUCUGGAGAAGCGUUUUCCGCGUCGGACCGUGUACAAGUCUUCUGGAACGGAGCGUCAUAGAGGGUGAGAAUCCCGUCUCUGACACGGACCGCCGACGCUUCAUGUGAUACGCUCUCGAAGAGUCGAGUUGUUUGGGAAUGCAGCUCAAAAUGGGUGGUAAAUUCCAUCUAAAGCUAAAUACUGGCGAGAGACCGAUAGCGAACAAGUACCGUGAGGGAAAGAUGAAAAGCACUUUGGAAAGAGAGUUAAACAGUACGUGAAAUUGUUGAAAGGGAAACGUUUGAAGUCAGUCGCGUCGGCCGGGACUCAGCCUUGCUAUCUUGCUUGGUGCACUUCUCGGUCGACGGGUCAGCAUCAAUUUUGACCGUCGGAUAAAGGCCGAGGGAACGUGGCAUCCUCCGGGGUGUGUUAUAGCCCUUGGUUCGCAUACGGCGAUCGGGAUUGAGGAACUCAGCGCGCCUUCAUUGGUCGGGGCUUCGCGGCUCACGUUAACGCGCUUAGGAUGCUGGCAUAAUGGCUUUAAGCGACCCGUCUUGAAACACGGACCAAGGAGUCUAACAUGCCCGCGAGUGUUUGGGUGCUAAAACCCGAGCGCGUAAUGAAAGUGAAAGUUGAGAUCUCUGUCGUGGGGAGCAUCGACGCCCGGACCAGAACUUCUGUGACGGAUCUGCGGUAGAGCGUGCAUGUUGGGACCCGAAAGAUGGUGAACUAUGCCUGAAUAGGGUGAAGCCAGAGGAAACUCUGGUGGAGGCUCGUAGCGAUUCUGACGUGCAAAAUCCGAUCGAA